AAAGGGAGACCUAAUUCCGGUAGGAGACGAAAAAAAAGUAGUCCCAACCAAGAAUCAAUCCCAAAAGGUCGAAGCGAGGCAAGAUUGGCUUUCAAACUAGGUUCUGGGUUCAAACAAGACCUGAAUCAGGAACAAGGGCUAUUAGCUCAGGUGGUUAGAGCGCACCCCUGAUAAGGGUGAGGUCCCUGGUUCGAGUCCAGGAUGGCCCACCUGCACAGGUGGCAAAAACAAAGAAGCGAGGAAUCAGCACCUUAUCUUACUGACAUAGUAAGAGAGAAUGCUGGCUCUGAGUAAAGAGUCCAGAGGAACCUUGAAAACUGCAUAGAGCUAGGUGAAAAAGCCAAAAAAGAAGACCGCAAG
rnacentral:tRNA from 1 species